rnacentral:tRNA from 1 species
GCGGCUGUGACGCAAUUGGUAGCGUAUUGGCUUCCCAAGCCAAGUGUUGCGGGUUCGAGCCCCGUCAGCCGCU